ACGACGCUGGCGGCGUGCCUAAUACAUGCAAGUCGAACGGUCUUUUCUAUGGAAGCUUGCUUCCACUGAGAAGAUAGUGGCGAACGGGUGAGUAACACGUGGGUAACCUGCCCAUAAGAGGGGGAUAACAUCCGGAAACGGGUGCUAAUACCGCAUAGUUUUUCUUGAUCGCAUGAUUGAGAAAGGAAAGACGGCCUUUGUGCUGUCGCUUAUGGAUGGACCCGCGGCGUAUUAGUUAGUUGGUGAGGUAACGGCUCACCAAGACGAUGAUACGUAGCCGACCUGAGAGGGUGAUCGGCCACAUUGGGACUGAGACACGGCCCAAACUCCUACGGGAGGCAGCAGUAGGGAAUCUUCCGCAAUGGACGAAAGUCUGACGGAGCAACGCCGCGUGAGUGAAGAAGGUUGUCCGGAUCGUAAAACUCUGUUGUCAGAGAAGAACAAGUUGGAGAGUAACUGCUCCAGCCUUGACGGUAUCUGACCAGAAAGCCACGGCUAACUACGUGCCAGCAGCUGC
rnacentral:rRNA from 1 species